GCGAGCGUUACUCGGAUUUAUUGGGUGUAAAAGGGCAGGUAGGCCGCCUAUCAAGUUGGGGGUGAAAUCCUGUGGCUCAACCACAGAACUGCCUUCAAAACUGCAUAGCUUGAGGCUAGAAGAGGAGAGCGGAAUUCCCGGUGUAAGAGUGAAAUCUGUAGAUAUCGGGAGGAACACCAGUGGCGAAAGCGGCUCUCUAGUCUAGCCCUGACGCUAAGCUGCGAAAGCUAGGGGAGCAAACAGGAUUAGAUACCCUGGUAGUCCUAGCCGUAAACGAUGAGCACUAGGUGUUGGGGGUUUACCCUCAGCGUCGCAAGUUAACACGUUAAGUGCUCCACC
rnacentral:rRNA from 1 species